GCCGGUGUAGCUCAGAAGGUAGAGCAGCGCAUUCGUAAUGCGAAGGUCAGGGGUUCGAUUCCUCUUAUCGGCACCA
rnacentral:tRNA from 3 species